GACGUAGGGCGCGAGCGUUGUCCGGAUUUAUUGGGCGUAAAGAGCUCGUAGGCGGCUUGUCGCGUCGUCCGUGAAAACCUGCAGCUCAACUGCAGGCUUGCGGUCGAUACGGGCAGGCUGGAGUUCGGUAGGGGAGACUGGAAUUCCUGGUGUAGCGGUGAAAUGCGCAGAUAUCAGGAGGAACACCGGUGGCGAAGGCGGCUUGCUGGGCCAGUUCUGACGCUGGAGGAAGCGAAAGCGUGGGUAGCAAACAGG
rnacentral:rRNA from 1 species